rnacentral:lncRNA from 1 species
AUUAAACUACUUGCUCCUUCCCCAAUCCCUCAGCUCCUCUCUCUCCUCUUCUUCUCCUCUACUCUCAAACCUCUCUUUUCUAGCUUCCCCUUCUCUAUAAUCUGAUCUCUCCGCAACAUUACAUAAUGCUGUUAAAUAUAUUAAUUAGUAUGAUUUAAAUAAAUGCCGCGGCGUUUAGUAAUAAGUGCUGCUAUUUUGUUACAUUUAAUAUCAUUUUUUUAUAAAAGGUUAGAAAUUUCAACGGCAUUCAUUAAUUUAUUCUGCUAAUUUAUCCGAUUUUAUAAUAUUAAUAAUAAAUUAUUAAAUAUAGCAAUAAUUAUCAAAUAAUACUGUUAAAUAUAUUAAUUAACAUGUAUGA